GACAAGCUUGGCUCUGACUUAAUAAUAUAGCGGGAACUAAAAAAUACACAUGGUUUUUAUGGAGAGAGACGAGGUAAAGAACAGUAUAUUUAUAACAAAAAGUUAUAAAGUAAUGUUUUUUUAGGUAUUAUAGUUUUCACGAUGCCUUGAAAAGUCCCGUUAACACCAGUGCUGAAGGUUAAAAAAAAGACGAGAGUCUGUAUUAAUUUAGUUCGUAAGAUUUGGUUAAUUUGGUGCCAGCAUCCGCGGUUAUACCAAGAAAUCAAGUUAUAUCGUUUGGUAAAAAGACGGUUAGACUUUAAUUAAUUAUGCCUAUUGAUUAUUUGUAUAGAGGUAGAAUUUGAAUACAAAUAUACAAACUAUAUAUGGCUUAUUUAGUUGAAUCCGUGAAAGCCUUGAGGGAAACUGGGAUUAGAUACCCCAUUAUUCUUGGCUAUAAAAUCAGGAAAACUUACCAGAGUACUAUGAAUCUAACAAAAUUUAAAACUCAAAGGGCUUGGCGGUGUUUUAGACCCCUCAGGGGAACCUGUCUCGUAAUCGACAAUCCACGAUAGACCUAACCCCAUUUUGCGUUCAGUUUGUAUACCGUUGUCGUCAGGUAACUCUCAAGGAAUAAGAAGUUAGCGAUUGAAAUAAGCCUAUAGAUUAAGACGUCAAAUCAAGGUGCAGCCCAUAAUGGGGGGAGGAUGGGUUACAAUUAUGAAUUCAUAAUGACGGAAAACACAUCGAACAAUGUAUUUGAAGGAGGACUUGAAAGUAAAAUGAAAUAUAUAAAUAAUUUGAAUAAGGCUCUGAAGCGUGCACACAUCGCCCGUCACUCUCGUUGAAAAAUGAGAUAAGUCGUAACAUAGCAGGGGUAAUGGAAAUUGUUCCUAGAUAAAA
rnacentral:ncRNA from 1 species